CUUUGUCUUGGGAAUAGGGAAUAGUGGGGUUGUUUGCCUGGUUUGGAAGAAAGAUUGGCUUUCUCGUUGAGAGCAAGUUUAGACUUCAAGGCAGAUAGACGUGUGAUGUAACUUCCCCCAGAAGUUACUAUGUCGCAGCUUUUUAAGACCUGCCUUGAUUUUGUUUCUUAACAGAGUUCCACCAUGGUUCCACCAUGGUUCCACUUCCAUUUCCCUCGGGACAAGAGUUGGGACUGCUGUCGUUGUUCAGGCAACGCUCUCCGCCUGAUCGAUGUAUUUAGUGCUUAUUGACGAACGACUUGUGUUUAUCAUUUGUACUUCAUAUGAACAUCUAUUCUUUUCUUCUAUUCCCUAAUAUGUUUCUACUGUACAGUGUAGUUUACUUUGCUCCUUUUCUAUCAUUUAUUGUACCUGUACGAUACAUUGUUAAGCUUUGCAUGUAGCUGUUUUUGUAAGAAUUGUUUGUUUGAAAUCGAAAUGCCAGUUGUCACACUGGGAAUUUAUUAUCGGUGUACCUUUGACACUGAAUAUUAAUAAAUACCUCUUUGGAAUUAUCAUUGGCACAAAA